rnacentral:lncRNA from 1 species
GGUUUACCUGGUCCACAGGGAAUGCAGGGGAUGCCAGGAAAUAGAGGACCACCGGGAGAGGGAACCACAGGACCCGAUGGGCCUCCCGGACCUGCAGGGCCACCAGGACCAGCGGGUUUGAGAGGACCUCCAGGAGUGAGCGGACAACAGGGACCCGCUGGACACAAUGUAAGAUUUAUAUGCUACUCCAGUAGCGAAGGGAUAAGAGAAUCAUAAACAUGGGUACAUCAAGUUGGUUUGUUUUGCAUCAGUACUUUUAAAUGUGUUUGCAGAACUGCACAGCAAGACACACUGACAGCCUGUAACUGGCUACAUGCUAAUGCUAGUAAGGUUGUGGUUAUAAUUCAGGGAGAUUUGAGAUUCUCAUUCUAGAGAACAUUUUAUUGGUUAAAAUGCAGAAGAUUUUACAGAUAUUAAUGAUCUGCUAUAGUUAUUGAUGCUCAUUAUUGCAAGGAAUGCUAUUAAUUUGGCUCUACCUUCUAGCAACAAUCUAGCAACAUGGGGAAAAAAAAACCCUUAGCACUAAUUUUAUUUUACCUGUACAAUGACAAUGAGGAGCUUUACCUUUCAGUCUCCUGAAUAGCUCACCAUCUCGCCUGGUUUUCCUUGAUCUCCUUUCUCUCCCUUCUCUCCUGGAUUACCCUAACAUUGAGGUGCAAACAAUGAACAUACAUUAAUUGAAGCAUAAGGCUCAACAAAUCCUGGAUACACACCCCUUUUCAAAAGUUUAGGGUCUGUUAAAACCAUUUCAAGCUAAUUAGUUCUGUUCAACAAGGUUGUGUUAAAUUGAUCAAAAGUGGCAGUACAAAUAUUUAUUAUGUUAUAAAAGAUUUCUAUUAGAAGUAAAAGAUGAUCUUUUAAUCAUUAUUUUCUUAAAAAUCAUGAAUCCCCAAAAAAAAAAAAAAAAAAAGUCUCAUGGUUUCCACAAAAAUAUUAAGCAGCAC